AACUUCCUGAAACUGGACGAGCAUCAGUAGAUGUUCCUUCUUCUCCAUCGACAUCCAUUUUCUGUGCAGGAUCUGAAAAAAAGUUUCCGAUUAUUCGGUUUGUUUGAAAAACUCACUUUUGACGCCUUCAAAACGGAUUGGACUAUCAAUUUGAUCGAUUUCGGUAUCAUUAGCCGAAAUUUCUUGUAUUUUAUCUUCUGGUGGAGAGUCCAAAUAUGGAAAUAGUUCUUCAGAUGAAUUAGAAUCUUCAACAAUAUUCUCAUCUUUCACUGGUGUUGUUUCUUUUACAACGGAAGCAUUUUCCAUUGUCUCUUCAACUCCUUCUUCCAUUUUUUCUACUUCCUCCUCUUCAUCCUCUUCUUCAUCAUCGACGUCUAGAUCUUCAGGGCCUGAAAUUUCAUAUUUUAUUCAGAGAUAAAACCAUUGGCUUCUUUUUGUAUUUUAAAACAAUUCUG
rnacentral:sRNA from 1 species